UGAGGCAAACAUCCGCUGCCGUGCACCGUAGCUGCAUUGUGUGUUCGCUGUAUGCUGGGCGCUGUCUUAGACCUUUAUGUAUAUUAACUUGGUUAAUCUGAAAAACCACCCUGCCGCAUAGACACUGUUUUUUCUGUUUACCCUUAGCAGACGAGGAAACUAAGGUACCAAGAAGUUAAGUAAAGGGCCCAAGGUCACACACAUAGUCAGCAGCAGAGCCAGAAUUUUAAGCUGGGCAGUUUCCAGCACCCGUGCUCUCAGCUGUGCUGUGAGGUUCUUUCUCACUUGAUGUGCAUCACUUCAUUUAAUUUGCUGAAUGUCCCUUUGGGAGUACUAAUCCAGUUUUACUUUUUUAAUAGAAGAGGAAACUGACGUUCAGAGUGGUGACAUGACUUGUAAGCCAGUAAACGAUGGAGCUCGGACCGGAAGGAAGGUAUCUCUAGGUGUACUUUCCUAUAAGGGUGGAGCCGCCUUUAUCCGAGAGUGAUGUACCCAUGGCUUUAUUCCAGCGAGCUUGACAGGUCAUCAGCAGUACGUGGUCACCGGGACGGAAAGGAUGGAGGGGCACAUCAGACGGAUGGAGAAACGGCCACAGAGAGUUUAAGUAACCUGUACAAGACCACACAGCUCAUAAGUAGUGGAGACUGAAUGUGAACUCACUGUGCUACACUGCCUCUCACUCAGCCUGUUUUCCCCCAAGAAUGGAAAGGAGGCCAGUGUGGCCGGAGCCCAGAGAGUGUAGAGGACAGCAGUGAGAGACGGGGGUGGGGCAGCAGCGCCGGGCCAUGCAGGAGGACGCUAAAUUUGACCCUGGCAGCAGUCGGGGGCCGCUAAAGGUAGGAGGAUGUGAUGGUAUCAGAUACACGUUUCAAAGGUGCCGUCCAGUCAGCGGACGGCUGAAUAGUCCAGCAGCGCUGCACCAUCAACAAACAACCCUCGGGCCGGCCCCAUGGCUUAGCGGUUAGGUGCGCGCACUCCGCUGCUGGUGGCCCGGGUUCGGAUCCCGGGCGCGCACUGACGCACCGCUUCUCUGGCCAUGCUGAGGCAGCGUCCCACAUACUGCAGCUGGAGGGAUGUGCAGCUAUGACAUGCAACUAUCUACUGGGGCUUUG